AAUACGACACGAUCCGGUCGGUAGGGCUGCUCCCGGCUCCAGAGGAGGCGAUAGAGAAGGAAAAGCCGACGAGAGAGGGGCGAGAGAGAGAGAGAGAGAGAGAGAAGUGAAGGGAAGGGAAGGAAGGCGACCACGCUUCCUUUUCCGAUUUCUUUCUUCUCUGUUUUUGAUCUAAUCUUAGGAAGAAGAAGCAUCGUUGACGCUUUUGAUCCAUCCUUCGCUCCCUCCCUCCGUUUGUUGAUCCUAGAGUCGGAACGAGAGGAGUGCUUUCGAUGGCGCCGGGGCAGGGAACGCAGCAGCAGUUCCGGUAUACGCAGACGCCAUCGAAGGUGCUGCACGUCCGGAACCUGCCGUGGGACAGCGCCGAGGAGGAGCUCGUCGCCCUGUGCAGGCCAUUCGGCAAGAUCGUCAACACCAUGUGCAACGUCGGCGCCAACAAGAACCAGGCCUUUGUAGAAUUCGCUGAUCUUAACCAAGCAAUUUCAAUGGUGUCAUACUAUGCUUCUUCAUCUGAGCCUGCCCAAGUUCGUGGAAAAACUGUCUAUAUCCAGUAUUCUAAUAGGCAAGAAAUUACGAAUAACAAGAGUACUGGAGAUGUUCCUGGGAAUGUCUUGCUGGUCACUAUUGAAGGUGUUGAAUCUGGGGAUGUCAGCAUUGAUGUGAUUCAUUUGGUGUUCUCUGCUUUUGGGUUUGUGCAUAAAAUUGCAACAUUUGAAAAAGCUGCUGGCUUUCAGGCACUAAUCCAGUACACAGAUGCGGAGACUGCUGCAAGUGCAAGAAAUGCAUUGGACGGAAGAAGCAUUCCUAGGUACUUACUACUUGAACACAUUACAACUUGCCAUUUGCGGAUCACAUAUUCGGCCCAUACAGAUUUAAGUAUAAAGUUCCAGUCACAUCGUAGCAGGGACUACACAAAUCCCUUUCUUCCUGUGAACCCUUCAGCAAUUGAGGGUUCUGUACAGCCACUGCUUGGUCCUGAUGGAGUGAAAAAGGAGACUGAAAGUAAUGUCCUUUUGGCUUCCAUAGAGAAUAUGCAAUAUGCUGUGACAGUUGAUGUUCUACACACAGUCUUCUCCACCUUUGGAACUGUGCAGAAGAUUGCAAUUUUUGAGAAAAAUGGUGGCAUGCAGGCAUUGAUACAAUAUCCUGAUGUGACAACUGCUUCAAUUGCCAAGGAAGCUUUGGAGGGACACUGCAUUUAUGAUGGUGGUUAUUGUAAGCUUCAUUUGACAUAUUCUCGUCAUACUGAUCUCAGUGUUAAGGUGCAUAAUGAUAGAGGCAGAGACUACACUAUUCAGGACACUGGUGUACUAAUGACGUCCCAAGCUCCUAGUUUGCCGACCACUACUGGUUGGCAAGUUCAUCCUCAAUCUACAACCACAUAUAUUGGCAAUGAUUUCACAGCUACAGGACAAGUGACAGUUCCGCAUGGCCAAGUGACGACAUGGAAUCCUAGCUUGUCAAGUGGAAGCUUUGCCUCAGCUUCUAACAUGUUCCCCAGUCAGACAUUUGCAACACCUGUUUCCCAUUACCCAGUUUCAACCGUUUCCAGUGCUCCUUCUGGGCUGCUUCAAGCUUCACAGGAGUCAUCUCAAUAUGGUCUUCUGGCAAAUGCACAGCCUGCUGCUGCACCAACCACCCAGCCUCCAUACUACACUACAUAAGCUGCAUCUUCUCAUAUUUUUUUAGUUUUUGUUCAAUAAACGGCGGGAAAUAAUGUGCCUUGCAGGCCUCUGGACUCCACAAGUGAAGCUGCCUUGGACAUUUUCAAUAUUCACUCUACCGUCCUGUGCUCUUUCUCAACUUCACCCUCACCUUUAAAUGGACCUCUAAGAUACAGAACUUUGGAGCUGUAGGAAAAUUUCUUAGUAGGAGCCUUAUUAGCUACUCAAUCGUACAACAAUUUGUUUCUUAGGUUGUUUUGCAGAGAAGGAUCGAAGCUGCACUUGAACCAGAAGCAGUAGCUUUGACAUAUCAUCGAGUCUGGAUUAGAGUCGACAAAUUGGUGCGGCUUGCUCGUGAUCUCGAAGCCUCGUUCGUUUCCAUUGUUGACACUAGAAGAUGAUACAGCCGAAGUCCGAAGAAUCCAGCGUGUUGCGUUCAGCAGUAGCAAUGAAAUGAAGUAUAAUUUCAUUGAUCACAGGAAUGAAUCCUUUACGCUGACCCCAACCAGUUUACAUUUCCUCCCUCCUGUAUGUCAAACUAAAUGCACCAAGAACGACACCAACACACCUUGUGAGAGACGUCCUUGUUCGCAUACAUCAUCACCAUUGGUACUUGGCCGCAACGAGGACUUCCUCGUAAUGCUUAGCAGCAUUAUCCCAGCUCAGAUCCUGUGUCAUCCCUCUCGUCCGAAGCCCCUCCCAACUCUUCUUGUGAUUCCAGUAGGUGUUCAAGCAGUUGCCCAGUGCAUGGACCAGCAUCCCCGACUCCGCCCUCUCGAACGUCCACCCGUAGCCCGUCUCCUUGAAGGGGUCAAAGGGGACGACGGUAUCCCGAAGCCCGCCCACGGCGUGCACCACCGGCACCGUCCCGUACUUCAUGGCGUACAGCUGGUUCAGCCCGCACGGCUCGAACCUCGACGGCAUGAGCAGGAUGUCCGCGCCUGCAGUUAUCCUGUGCGCCAUCUUCACCGAGAACCCAACCCAUCCCCUGACCUUGUCAUGGUUCUCUCUCUCGAACUUCCUCAGCAUCUCCUCCAGGUCCGGCCUUCCGGUGCCCAACAUGACCAGCUGCACGUCCUGGGCAACCAUCCACGGCAUGGCCUCCGCGAUGAGGUCCACGCCCUUCUGGUGAUCCAGCCUCCCGAUGAAGCCGAUCACGGGGACAUUUCGUCGAACAGGUAGGCCGAGCUCCUUCUGCAGUGCCGCCUUGCAAUGGAGUUUCCCAGUUUUGACUGUUUCCGAGGAGUAGUUGGUGUAGCCGUCGGAGCUCAAGUGGACGUCCAGUUCGGGGUUCCAGUCCUUUGUGUCGAUGCCAUUAACGAUGCCUCGGAACUUCCAGUCGCUGUCGUUUAUGAUCCCGUGAAGUCCCCAGCCACCUUGGGAAGUUUUGAGCUCCCAUGCGUAGCCAUGGCUGACGGUCACGACGCGGUCGGCGGUCUUCAGCCCAGCGGCGAAGAUGUUGAAGUGGUCACCUCCAAUCGGAUCAUACAAUGUGAAGAGGUCGAUGUACUUCUCCGGCAAGUCCAAAUGGAAGAAAUCCUCUACAGGACCGCGGCCCUGCAUGAGACAUCAGAAUAAGAACGUGGACAAGAAGAACUAUGCCACGGACUGAGGCCAUAUCUUGCUCAUGUUCAAUUCUUCUCUCUCUUCCUUGUUCACUUUCCUGCUUUCAGAAUUUGUUCUUCUUGCUAUUUUUUUUGUUUGGCAGAUGAUCUAAAGAAAUAUAAAGGAAUGACAUCAUCUUUAUGUUGA